CUGGCGGCAUGCCUAAGACAUGCAAGUCGAACGAGAAGACCUUUGAAGAUGGAGUGCUUGCACAAAAUGGAAGAAGAUUAUCUUCUAGUGGCAGACGGGUGAGUAACACGUGGGUGACCUACCUUUAAGCUGGGGAUAACGAUUGGAAACGAUCGCUAAUACCGAAUAAGAGGUACGUAAAAAUAUCAUUGAAAGAAGCCUUUAAAGCUUCACUUAGAGAUGGGCCUGCGGCGUAUUAACUAGUUGGUGAGGUAAUGGCUCACCAAGGUAACGAUGCGUAGCCGAACUGAGAGGUUGAACGGCCACACUGGGACUGAGACACGGCCCAGACUCCUACGGGAGACAGCAGUUAGGAAUAUUCGUCAAUGGGGGAAACCCUGAACGAGCAAUGCCGCGUGAGUGAUGAAGAUUCCCUCUGGAUUGUAAAACUCUGUUGUAUGGAAAAAACGACUGUAUUAGGAAAUGAAUACAGAGUGAUGGUACCAUACGAGAAAGCUCCGGCUAACUACGUGCCAGCAGCUGC
rnacentral:rRNA from 1 species